UGAGUGGAAACCCUGAAACUUUGACGUCUCAGCCAUGAUUAUACACAAAGUUACCACAUCCUUUCUGAACAUCUUUAUUCAAAAAGCUGACAUAAAAUGGUUUGCUAAGCUAUUAAUUGAAGCCUACUAACCGACACUUUCAGAAGACUUCGUUCCAGUUUUUUCAGUUUCCCUGUAGGUAAUCCAGACAGGCUGGGUGCUGGAGAGGGCUCUGGACUCCUAACUUCAAUUCUCGUCUGUGCAGUCGACACUCCGAAGCAUCACUUCAGCACUGAUUCCAUGAUCUGGAACAUUUUGAAAUCCUACCAGAUGGGGCAGAAGUCAUUGAGCAGUGGCAG